ACACGGGAAAGGAGGUGGUCCGAAGAAUGAAUUCUUAUGGGACGCGUGAGGUGGCUGCGCGCUAGCAGCAACCGUCAGCGAAGUACUGCUGGCAAAUCCAACGCAGACACCCGACCCGCAGGUGAUCCGGUCAUCACGUCCACCGGAGCGGGCCUCAUCCCGAGGUCCACACCUGCGGGUCGUUGCAU
rnacentral:sRNA from 1 species